GACGAACGCUGGCGGCGUGCCUAAUACAUGCAAGUAGAACGCUGAAGAGAGGAGCUUGCUCUUCUUGGAUGAGUUGCGAACGGGUGAGUAACGCGUAGGUAGCCUGCCUUGUAGCGGGGGAUAACUAUUGGAAACGAUAGCUAAUACCGCAUAACAAUGGAUGACACAUGUCAUUUAUUUGAAAGGGGCAAUUGCUCCACUACAAGAUGGACCUGCGUUGUAUUAGCUAGUAGGUGAGGUAACGGCUCACCUAGGCGACGAUACAUAGCCGACCUGAGAGGGUGAUCGGCCACACUGGGACUGAGACACGGCCCAGACUCCUACGGGAGGCAGCAGUAGGGAAUCUUCGGCAAUGGGGGCAACCCUGACCGAGCAACGCCGCGUGAGUGAAGAAGGUUUUCGGAUCGUAAAGCUCUGUUGUAAGUCAAGAACGAGUGUGAGAGUGGAAAGUUUACACUGUGACGGUAGCUUACCAGAAAGGGACGGCUAACUACGUG
rnacentral:rRNA from 1 species